CAUUAGUACUGCACACUUAAUUCAUCAUCAUCUUCAUCAUUCAAGUUGUACCUUCACUGAGAGGACCUUUGGCUGAUCCUGAACACUUGGCUGUUGCAAACAAGAACAGAGCAAACACCGUACUAAGACGUCUCUGUAGCAGCAGUUUUCAGGCUACUUGGACGACUUGGCUAACAAGGGCUUAAGGAGAAACUCCCAAUGUCAGUCCAAAAUCUGACAAAAAAGCAUAGAUGUGUUUGGAACAGAAAAACUCAGGAAAGAUAUCAUUAAAUCUUUAUUCUCUGAUGUUUAG